rnacentral:rRNA from 1 species
ACAUGCAGUCGAGGGGUAGAGUUCUUCGGACUUGAGACCGGCGCACGGGUGCGUAACGCGUAUGCAAUCUACCUUAUACUAAGGGAUAGCCCAGAGAAAUUUGGAUUAAUACCUUAUAGAUAAUAAAAAAGGCAUCUUUUUAAUUAUAAAGAUUAAUUGGUAUAAGAUGAGCAUGCGUCCCAUUAGUUAGUUGGUAAGGUAACGGCUUACCAAGACGAUGAUGGGUAGGGGUCCUGAGAGGGAGAUCCCCCACACUGGUACUGAGACACGGACCAGACUCCUACGGGAGGCAGCAGUGAGGAAUAUUGGUCAAUGGGCGCAAGCCUGAACCAGCCAUGCCGCGUGCAGGAUGACGCAUCUAUGGUGUGUAAACUGCUUUUGUACAGGAAGAAACAUCCCGACGAGUCGGGACUUGACGGUACUGUAAGAAUAAGGAUCGGCUAACUCCGUGCCAGCAGCCGCGGUAAUACGGAGGAUCCAAGCGUUAUCCGGAAUCAUUGG